rnacentral:rRNA from 1 species
UUGCACCGAGCGGAUGAGUUGCGAACGGGUGAGUAACGCGUAGGUAACCUGCCUCUUAGCGGGGGAUAACCAUUGGAAACGAUAGCUAAUACCGCAUAAAAGUCGACAUUGCAUGAUGUUGACUUGAAAGGUGCAAUUGCAUCACUAAGAGAUGGACCUGCGUUGUAUUAGCUAGUUGGUGAGGUAACGGCUCACCAAGGCGACGAUACAUAGCCGACCUGAGAGGGUGAUCGGCCACACUGGGACUGAGACACGGCCCAGACUCCUACGGGAGGCAGCAGUAGGGAAUCUUCGGCAAUGGGGGCAACCCUGACCGAGCAACGCCGCGUGAGUGAAGAAGGUUUUCGGAUCGUAAAGCUCUGUUGUAAGAGAAGAACGAGUGUGAGAGUGGAAAGUUCACACUGUGACGGUAACUUACCAGAAAGGGACGGCUAACUACGUGCCAGCAGCCGCGGUAAUACGUAGGUCCCGAGCGUUAUCCGGAUUUAUUGGGCGUAAAGCGAGCGCAGGCGGUUAGAUAAGUCUGAAGUUAAAGGCUGUGGCUUAACCAUAGUACGCUUUGGAAACUGUUUAACUUGAGUGCAGAAGGG